GGGGAUGUAGCUCAGUGGUAGAGUAGUUGCUUAGCAUGCACGAGGUCCUGGGUUCAAUUUCCAAUACCACCA
rnacentral:tRNA from 1 species